rnacentral:rRNA from 1 species
CUUACUGACCGAUAGCGAACCAGUACCGUGAGGGAAAGGUGAAAAGCACCCCGACGAGGGGAGUGAAACAGUACCUGAAACCGGACGCCUACAAGCAGUGGGAGGCUCCUUGAGAGCUGACCGCGUACCUUUUGUAUAAUGGGUCAUCGACUUGGUCUCACGAGCAAGCUUAAGCCGAUAGGUGUAGGCGCAGCGAAAGCGAGUCUUAAUAGGGCGAAUGAGUUCGUGGGAUCAGACCCGAAACCGAGUGAUCUAGGCAUGACCAGGUUGAAGAUAAGGUAACACUUAUUGGAGGACCGAACCCACACCUGUUGAAAAAGGUCGGGAUGAGUUGUGCCUAGGGGUGAAAGGCCAAUCAAACUCGGAGAUAGCUGGUUCUCCGCGAAAUCUAUUUAGGUAGAGCGUCAUCCGAAUACCCCGGGGGGUAGAGCACUGGAUGGGUAAUGGGGCCCCACAGGCUUACUGAUCCUAACCAAACUCCGAAUACCCGGGAGUACUAGAUGGCAGACACACGGCGGGUGCUAACGUCCGUCGUGAAGAGGGAAACAACCCUGACCUACAGCUAAGGCCCCCAAUUCAUGGCUAAGUGGGAAAGCAGGUGGGACGACCAAAACAACCAGGAGGUUGGCUUAGAAGCAGCCAUCCUUUAAAGAUAGCGUAACAGCUCACUGGUCUAAAUUAAGUUGUCCUGCGGCGAAGAUGUAACGGGGCUCAAGCCAUGAGCCGAAGCUUAGGAUCAGUGCUUAUGCACUGGUGGUAGCGGAGCGUAGUGUGACAUAACUCCGUUCCUCUUCUGCGCCUUCGGGCGCAAUGGAGGAUAGGAGUUUUCUGUGAAGCCGGCCUGUGAGGGAUCCGGUGGAGAGAUCACUAGCGAGAAUGAUGACAUGAGUAGCGACAAGGAGUGUGAGAGACACUCCCGCCGAAAGUCCAAGGGUUCCUGCUUAAAGCUAAUCUGAGCAGGGUAAGCCGACCCCUAAGGCGAGGCCGAAAGGCGUAGUCGAUGGGAACCAGGUUAA